UACAGCUCUUGGACUCUGCUCUUGCCAAGCUGUCCAUGUAAUCCAAUUGAGUUCUGUUGACAGUCGUCUUAAGAUCGGACAAAUUUCGAAAAGCAAAUUGUAGAAUCGAUAUCAGAAAGCGGCUAAAAUAAAAGGCAGUUCAACGUUUUAAAUAACGUUGCUGUACACCCUGUUAUAGACACCAUAACACAAAAUAUUGUCGGUUGAGAAAUCAAGUUCCAGUGCUGGCCAGUGCUUAGUUACAGAAAUGUAAACGAAGCAUUAAACAGUGAAUGGAGUUGGACUUCAAGAAGAACUUCUGAACUACUAGAGGAAGAGAGAAGGCUAAACAUUAUUCCAUCUAUCGAAUGAACCAAGGUCGAGAAUUCAAACAGGGGGAAUCCUGUAGACUGUGGCACUUCUCUUACUGCAAAGACAUGAAUAAUAUAUUUGUCACCCUGGCUGAAGUCCUAGAGGCCAGGAGGGGACCUCUUGAAGAAGAUGAAAUCUGGUCACUAUUACUAGGGACUGUUGAAUCUUUGCUGGAUGCAUCAUACAAAGGUAUUUGAUUAAAUUAACAGAAUGAGAAGGCAUGGGGAUGAAUAGAUAAUAUGAGGCAAAAUGUUCUUACAUUCUUGAUUCUUAAUGAAUUGAAGAUACAGAUAAGAAAGGAAUUUUUUGCAAUAGUUCCCCAUUCAUAUGCAUCCUAGAUGUACGAUGAGAUGAGCAGACAGUUGAUUAUUUAAAUUAAUAUGUGUGGCAAUGUUGCCCCGCCCCUGUGUGUAUUUCGGU